rnacentral:tRNA from 1 species
GGGGCUAUAGCUCAGUUGGCAGAGCGCGUCCAUGGCAUGGACGAGGUCCAGGGUUCAAUUCCCUGUAGCUCCA